ACAGUGGUGACUCUUCCACAGGAAAAGGAAAAUGAAUCCCUGAAGGCACACGUGCGCCAGAGCCUGCUGCCACUCUCCUUCCACUGCCAUGAUGAGAACCAGCGAGUGGCAGAGGCUUCUCAGGAAACGCUGCUUUGUGCGGCCGAGUUCCUGAAGAGGAGGGAUCUU